rnacentral:lncRNA from 1 species
CUGGCAGUAGUCUCUUAAAAUGAUUUUUGAAUAGUUUAGGUAAUAAUUAUUGACCUAAUAAUGACCUCAGAAGCUGACUGAUUACUUUGGAUAUCUUAGGUAUCAACAACAUUAACAUGAAACAGGUUACCAUUAAAGUAGAACAAAUUAAUUGUGUCAGAGUGCUGGAUCAGGAUUGAAUAAACUACAUUCCACAGGAAGCUUAUCUUCAGCUGUGAGCCUUUGCUCUAGCUUCUUGACUUCCACAUCACCUCCAGUUUUUUCUUAAUUGAUGAAGCUAUGAGUAAUGUGUCUACAAUUCCACAGUCACCCCACAGAUGAAGCAUGGGAAACUUUCCUUUGGUUGACUGAAGAGAUCCUUCAGCAAGGGAGGCGAACCAGACCUGAGACUCCCUAA